UGGGGAAUAUUGCACAAUGGGGGAAACCCUGAUGCAGCGACGCCGCGUGAGUGAAGAAGUAUUUCGGUAUGUAAAGCCCUAUCAGCAGGGAAGAAGAUGACAGUACCUGACUAAGAAGCCCCGGCUAACUACGUGCCAGCAGCCGCGGUAAUACGUAGGGGGCAAGCGUUAUCCGGAUUUACUGGGUGUAAAGGGAGCGCAGGUGGCAAGGCAAGCCAGAAGUGAAAACCCGGGGCUUAACCCCGCGGAUUGCUUUUGGAACUGUCUGGCUGGAGUGCAGGAGGGGCAGGCGGAAUUCCUGGUGUAGCGGUGAAAUGCGUAGAUAUCAGGAGGAACACCGGUGGCGAAGGCGGCCUGCUGGACUGUAACUGACACUGAGGCUCGAAAGCGUGGGGAGCAAACAGG
rnacentral:rRNA from 1 species